UCCUUAUCUUUAUCUUCCUUAUCCUUAUCCUUAUCCUUAUCUUUAUCCUUAUCUUUAUCUUCCUCAUCUUUAUCUUUAUCUUCUUAUCUUAUCUUUAUCCUUAUCUUUAUCAUCCUUAUCUUUAUCUUCCUUAUCUUUAUCCUUAUCUUAAUCUUUGUGUUCCUUAUCCUUAUCUUUAUCUUCCUUAUCUUUAUCUUUCUUAUCUUCCUUAUCUUUAUCUUUAUCCUCUUAUCUUUAUCCUCUUAUCUUUAUCCUUAUCUUUAUCCUUAUCUUUAUCUUCCUUAUCUUUAUCCUUAUCUUCUUAUCUUUAUCCUUAUCUUUAUCUUUAUGUUCCUUAUUCUUAUCUUUAUGUUCCUUAUCUUUACCUUCUUUAUCCUUAUCUUUAUCUUCUUAUCUUUA